GGGACACAAGACACAACAAAAAUCCUACACAAUAAUCUCUAUCUACUCUUUAACUCUCUAUUUUUUUUUUCUGCUGACAGUAAUCCACCCUUUAUCUCCUUUCAAUCUCAUCAAACUCCCUUAUCCAUUGUCAUACCCUCUCUCCAUGCUGCAUCACCACCGUUCAUCAACUUUCGCCCUUCAAUUCCCUACCCUUAUCACCAUCAACCCACUAACACCAUCGACCCACUAACACUAUCCGCCUCUUUCCUUUUAACCCAUUCCAACGCCAUCACUUCAACAUACUCCCAUCCCAAGUUAAACCGGUGA